AGUACUUUGUGUUGCUAUGAGACGGUGAUUUCUUUUUUUUUUUUUAGAUAGCAGCUUCUUUCCUUGAAUAAUUUGGAGUUUUGCCUUGCUAAUGUUUUUAUAAUGCCAAAACAAUUAUUAGGCGCCGAUAUAGGCACAAUUUGGUUCAGAGCAAGCAACUGGAUAUCAGCUUUAUGGCUUUUUAUUUUACUGUAACGUUAGCUAGGAAGGUUAAUUCAUUCAUUGUGACAAGCAGCAUGGCGUCCAGAGGCGGUUCAAGAGAUAUUGAGGAGGACGCUUCUCAGUUACUUUUCCCCAAAGAGUUCGAGAACGCGGAGACACUUCUAAACUGCUUCUGGAGCAUCGCAAGCAGCAGAACGAGAGUGCAGAGGACGAACAAGAGCUAUCGGAGGUUUUCAUGAAAAGUCUGAAUUAUACUGCACGUUUCAGCCGGUUCAAAAACAGAGAAACUAUAGCCAGUGUCCGCAGGUCAGUGUAGCGGUUGUCACUAUCACAACCAAAAACCAAUGUCAAUACCGUAUAAAAUACAAUAUGGUGGUAACUUUUCGUGAUGACUGAAAUUAUUGCCCUGUAUCGUAUAGCUUGCUCUUACGGAAGAAGCUGCAUAAAUUUGAGCUGGCCAGUUUGGCCAACAUGAGUCCAGAAGUAGCUAGGUAGCUCCUCAUCCCUAGGUAGGACCUGUUGUUACUGCCUCCUCACAUAUCACCAUACUCAGUCCUCUAACCCAGACUCUAAACCUUGUAUCUAUUUGGGUAGCAGUCAGCUCUUGACCAUGAAAUCAGGCGUAAAUGUUUAUUAUAUAUACAUUUAGAGACAGUAGUUGUCUGUUUGUUCUGUCAAAAGUCUGGAGGGGCAGUUUGAGGAUGAGGAGCUGCAGCAGAUCCUUGAUGACAUCCAGACCAAGAGAAGUUUCCAAUACUGAAGACAGUUCCUCCUCUGGCCUGUUCUAACCUAAACCCAUCGUUAUGUCAGAAAAUACUGGGCAUCCUAAAUGACACCCUAUAUAGUGAAUAGGGUGCAGUUUGGGAUGCAACCGGACUGACCAUUCUCCCCAGGAUGGGUACCUCCAAAUUGGACUUGGGGGGUGUAUCGACAGCCGAGGGGUGCGUCAGGCACCGCAGAGCUGUACAUUCAUUGCAGAGAUGAUACAGCGCCAUUUAGAAGACCAUACCAAGCUAGGAUGAAUACAUACAUUACUAAAUGUAAAUAAUUUAUAAAUAAACAUCAGAUUUUUUAAUA